UUUCAUCAUCUUAAAUUUCCUAUUCAUUUUGCUCAGUUUUUGUUCAAUUUCGAUAAGGUAUUACAGCUCGAAGCCGAUUUGCAGAUUUUAAAAAUGGUGGACGCUGGGCAAAAAACACUUGGACAGGUAAUUCAAUUUCAAUGCCAAGACCGUUCAUUUCUUUUGGAUAAUUUGAUCUUUCGUUGAUUUCAACUGAAUUCUAAAAAAAAAAUUAAUUUGCUUAGUUUAAUUUGUAGUUGUUCAUUUCUGAUGAAGAGCUAUGAAUGUUAUGAAUUACUACAGGUUUAAACUAACGAUAUGUUCAACAAUAUGAAAUUGCUUUGUGUUUUAAGAUCUUCAUCCGAAUAAAGUUUUGUUAUUUCUUAUGGUGGACUUCCGUUUGCAGUUCGGAGCCAAUGUGCGUAUUUUGAAGACGGUGUAUGCUGGACCAAAGGUCUUGGAUGGGUAAUUCAAUUUCAAUGGCAAGACCAUUCAUUUUUUUUUUUGAGUAAGUUUGGUCUUCUGCUAAUUUCGACCAAACAAAUUUAUUUGCUUAGUUUAAUUUGUAGCUUCUCUGCUCGAAGCGUCCUCCCUCUUCCUACUACCCCACGUCACUCUCUUUUGGAAGAAUUUGUUUACGUAUUGAGAGAUUGAAUUGCUGCUUGGAAAUUCGGAAAAUUUAUGGUCUUUGUAUGGUAUUUUAGGUUUAGGAUACGUAAAGAUUGUGUCUUUGAUGUAUAAUUAAUAUUGAAUUUGAUGAACUGAUAGGAGCAUAUUUAUGCGACUUAGUUAGCUUGUUUCCUUGCACUUACGUAGUUAGUUUUUACUUUUUAGAAUGUUUUAAGCCAUUUUCGUGUGUUUGUAGGUUCAAAUGGCAAAAGUGGCAAGAAAAGGCAAUUUGGAGCAUUUUAGAGCAGUUUUGGGCUGGGAAUGACAACAUAUGAAUGGAGCAAGGUGGAUGGACGUUUUUGAAGAUCAAAAGAGGCUAGGAAUGUGCUAAAGAGUUGAAGGAAUUAAUUCAAGACAUAGAAGAUAAGGAAUCAGCUAUAAAGAAGGAACAUUAUCCAAACCAACCUUAUCUUAUCCAGUCUUAUCUUAUCUUAUCCCAUAUGAUCCAAACAUUAUCCUAUUUAAUCCAACAUUAUCUAAACUUAUCUCCAGCUGCAAAAUGAGUCCUUAUCCUAUUCUAAAUCAUUCCUAUCUGAAUUUAGGAGUCCUAAUCCUUCUAAACACAUUAAUUCUUUUCCCCCUAGGAAUCUGCCGCACCCAGUCCUUCUCCUCUACAACUUUGUGCCGUGUAUCUACCCUAUAAAUACACACCCUUGCCGCACCAUGAUAGGAGCAUAUUUAUGCGACUUAGUUAGCUUGUUUUCUUGCAUUUUCAUAGUUAGUUUGUGUUUAUCAUAGUGAUUUAAGCUAUUUUCGUGUGUUUGUAGGUCCAAUUGGCAAAGUUGGCAAGAAAGUACAUUUUGAAGCAUUUUAGAGCAAUUUUGGGCUGGAUUGGAUUGCAUGCAUGUGGAGCACAAGGAAUGACCGUUUUUGAAGAUCAAAUGAAGCGAGGAAUGUGCUAAAGAGAUGGAGAAAUUAAUUCAAGACUUGGAAGAUGAGUAAUCAGCUGCAAGGGGACCUAAAUCCCUUCUCUUAUACAUGUGCCGCACCUACCUUUCUAGAAGCCCUAGAAAGGUGGCGCCCCAAACCCUUCUAGAAGUUCCAAUUUCUGCCACAAAACAUUUUCUUUCUAGAAGCCUAAAAGAGUGCCACACCUAUUCUUUCUAGAAACCCUAAAAAUCUGCCAGAAACCCUAGUUAUUUUCCCCCUUGGAUUGGGCCAAGCCUUGUGCCGCAAACCCUAAGCCUUUUCCUCCAGAAAUUCGGCCAAACCCUAACCUAUAAAUAUAUGUUUUCAGCCAUAAUUUCAACCUACCACCCCCCAUAUAAUUCUACACCCCCUUUCAGCCGCAAAAACACUAAUUAACACCCUUUGCCGCAACUUUGGAGAAGAAGAAGCCUUUGCUGUGGCUUCCAUUGGAGAAGGAGGACCUUGUGCGCAAGCCACCUGCAACCAUUGGAGUUCUAAGAGUUCUUUCUUCCCUCGUUUCGUUUCCAUGUUUAUUUUUUGUUGCUUUUCAAUUGUUAUAAACAUGUGGAUCUAAUUCCUUUUUAGUUAGAUGUGAAUUCAAAGCCAUGGACAUAUGUUUAAUAUGAAUUGAUUACUUUCAGUUUUUGUUUUGUAAAACAUGAAUGUGAUUUUACUUAUCUGUUUGAUUGAGAACUUAUUCUUGUGUGUUGAUUGAGGAUGCAUACUUAGUUUGCAUGCAUGAAUCUGAUGCUAAAAUAUAAGGGAGUUUCACUUAACAGUUACAAACUUAUAUUUACAAGUAGUGAAGGUUGCUAGUCACAAUCGUGUUAAGUAGAUUCUUGGCAGGAGUAUCAUGCAGUUCAUAGUUAUGAAUGCCAUGUCAAUGCUUAUGAUUUUCAUAGAACGUAAUGAUCUUUGAUAUGUAUCUCUUUUAUGCUGUUCAUAUAGGGAACUUGAUAUGAAUAAUUUGGUUGCGAUGCAUUGUCCAUUCAAUUCAAUGAACUUAGGAAAAUUUGAAAGUUAAUUAGUGCAUUCACAAUUAAUUUGGGGCAUUGUCAUUCAUGGUUUGAAGAAACAAUACUGGAAAUCAAUUUAUGUGCAUAUGUUUCAUUUGUGGAGAAGGACCCUCUAACUAGCUUUUCACCCUUGAAUUCAUCUUAAUUUCGUUUUAACUUACUUUGUUUGCUGCAAUUUACUUAGUUUUGUCAAAUUCGUCCAAAAAACCCUUUAGUUCUUAUUUAGUGUCUUAGUUUAGUUAAUUUCGUUCAAAUCUGUCCCCAUUUGGUAUUUUGAGUCAAGUUAGUUUAGAAUUUGUCCAAAUCACUCUUUAGUAGUUGUUUUGAGUCUUUUUAACUUAGUUUUGCUGUUUUGAGUCAAUUUGAUCAGUUUUGAGUCAUAAGAGUCUAGUUUUCUGUUUUUGAGUCUAGUUUAGUGUUUUAAAGUUUAAUUUGAGUAGAUUAGCAUCCCUUAUAAUCCUUGGCCUUAAACGAUCCCUACUUACAUAUACUACAAUCAUAGGGUUUUAAUUUGAGUGUUGGAAUAUUUCACAUCACACCACACACAUAAGAGCCUAAAAUCAGAAAAAUACACAAUUGUGCUGCAGCUUUUGAAGGAGGGAGAGAGAGCUUUGUGCCGUGCCUGCUAUCCAAGGCCUUUGGAGUGCUGGAGCGUUUCUGGGUUCUAUCUAUCCUUAUUUUUAGUUCAAUGUUUAAUUAGUUAGAGGUGAAUUCAAAGCCAUGAACAUAUAUGUGAUAUGAAUUGAUUACAUCUAGUUCUUGUUUCAUAAAUCGUGAAUGCAAUUUACUUAUCUGUUUUAUGGAGAACUUGUUCUUGUGUGUUGAUUAAGGAUGCAUACUUAGUUUGCAUGCAUGAAUUUGAUGCUAGAAUAUAAGGGAAUUUCACCUAAUCGUUAUGAACUUAUAUUCACAAGUAGUAAAAGUCACUAGUCAUGAUUGUGUUAAGUAAAUUCUUGGCAAGAGUAUCAUGCAGUUCAUAGUUACGAAUGCCUUGUCAAUGCUUAUGAUUUUGAUAGAACUUAAUGAUCUUUGAUAUGUAUCUCUAUCAUGCUGUUCAUAUAGGGAACUUGAUAAGAAUAAGUUGGUUGUGUCGCUGAGUCUAAUUCAAUGAAUUUAGGAAAAUCUGAAAGUUAAUUUGUGCUUCUCACGAUUAAUUUGGGGCAUUGUCAUUCAUGGUUUAUAGGAAUAAUAACUGGAAAUUGAUUUGUAUACAUAUGUGUCAUGUGUGAAGAAGGACCCUCUAGCUAGCCUUACACCCCUAAAAACAUCCAAUUUCGUAUUACCUUUAGUUUGUUUCUGUAAGUACUUAGGUUUACUUUAAAUUCGUCAAAACAACCCCCAUUUAGUAUUCUGAGUCUUUUUAGUUUAAUUUUCGUCCAAAUCACCCUCUAGUUCUUGUUUUGAGUCAAUUUAACUUAGUUUUGUGUUAAUUGAGUCAGUUUAGCUUGUUUUGAGUUGUUUGAGUCUAGUUUCAGUUUUUAAGUUUAAUUUGUGUUGAUUAGCAUCCCUAAGGUACCGUUUGGUAUGUGGGACGGGGCGUUCCGUCCCACGUUUGGUGCGCCUAAAACGGGUGGAACAUACUGUUCCACGGAACGAGUUUUGGGUGAAUUUUUGUU
rnacentral:lncRNA from 1 species